CAGGACGAACGCUGGCGGCGCGCCUAAUACAUGCAAGUCGAGCGAGAACCAGGGCUUCGGCCCUGGGGAGAGCGGCGAACGGGUGCGUAUCACGUGAGCAACCUGCCUCGGAGACCGGAAUAACUCGAGGAAACUCGGGCUAAUGCCGGAUGCCCUCGGUGGACCGCAUGGUCCGGCGAGGAAAUGGAUUCCGCUCCGAGAUGGGCUCGCGGCCUAUCAGCUU
rnacentral:rRNA from 1 species